rnacentral:rRNA from 1 species
UACAGAAGCCUCAAGCGUUGUUCGGAAUUACUGGGCGUAAAGGGAAUGUAGGUGGUGACGUAAGUCAGAUGUGAAAGCCCCGGGCUUAACCUGGGAAGUGCAUUUGAUACUGCGUCGCUAGAGUGCGAGAGAGGAGAGCGGAAUUCCCGGUGUAGGGGUGAAAUCCGUAGAUAUCGGGAGGAAUACCAAUGGCGUAGGCAGCUCUCUGGCUCGUAACUGACACUGAGAUUCGAAAGCAUGGGUAGCAAACAGG